rnacentral:tRNA from 1 species
GCCCCCGUUGUGUAGCGGCCCAGCACGCCGCCCUCUCACGGCGGUAGCGCCGGUUCAAAUCCGGUCGGGGGUAC